UCACUACUUGCGUAGGCAGUCUGGCUAGAGUCCCCACCAUUACGUGCUGGUAACUAACCACAGGGGUUGCGCUCGUUGCGCCACUUAAGGCAACACCUCACGGCACGAGCUGACGACAGCCAUGCAGCACCUUCUCAGCCGCCCCGAAGGGAAGCUCCCUUUCAGGAGCCGUCGCCUGAGAUUUAGCCCAGGUAAGGUUCUUCGCGUUGCAUCGAAUUAAGCCACAUGCUCCACCGCUUGUGCGGGCCCCCGUCAAUUCCUUUGAGUUUCAUUCUUGCGAACGUACUCCCCAGGUGGUGUGCUUACUGCGUUAACUGCGUCACUGAUCCGUCAAAAACGGACCAACAACUAGCACACAUCGUUUACAGCGUGGACUAC
rnacentral:misc_RNA from 1 species